CUACUCUCGAACCUUUUACAUGGACGAAGACGGUGAGAAUUUUGUCGUUGAUCAACCGCCGCCGCCCGAAGAGGAGCUCGAUAGACAAGAUGUCGGAAAGUUGCUUUAUGGAUGUGAUCAUUAUCGGCGACGCUGUAAACUCCGAGCCCCUUGUUGCAAUGAAAUAUUCACUUGCCGUCACUGCCACAACGAGGCCAAGAAUGCUUUGACCAAUCCCAAGGAACGGCACGAACUUGUGCGCCACAAUGUUAAGCAAGUUGUUUGUGCUGUAUGCGACACUGAACAACAGGUUGCUGAGAUCUGUUCAGAGUGUGGCGUCAAAUUUGGGGAGUACUAUUGUGAAAUUUGUAGAUUUUACGAUGACAAUAGAACAAAGGGGCAGUUUCACUGUGAUGACUGUGGAAUUUGCAGGGUCGGUGGUCGAGAAAACUUCUUCCACUGCAAGAAGUGUGGAUCCUGCUAUUCGGUGGAGCUGCGUGAUAAUCACUUGUGUGUGGAGAACUCAAUGAAGAACCACUGUCCCAUCUGUUAUGAGUUUCUUUUCGACUCAGUGAAAGGCACCACAAUUAUGAAGUGUGGACAUACAAUGCAUAUGGAAUGCCACACAGAGAUGAUCCAUCAGAACCAGUAUCGCUGCCCUAUAUGCUCUAAGUCUGUUCUCAACAUGUCCGGAACUUGGCAAAGAUUAGAUAUGGAGAUUGAAGCUACAGCCAUGCCUGAAGAAUAUCGUUAUGAGGUUCCAAUUCUGUGCAAUGACUGUAAUAGUACUGGUAAAGCAUUUUUUCACAUACUUGGCCACAAAUGCAAGCAUUGUAAUUCAUACAACACCCGCAUGAUUGGUACUGGUGAAGAUCCCCGAUGACAUGGGUCAGCUUGAUUCAAGCCUUUUUUAUUUGUUUCUUCUAGCGAACUGUACAAAGGAAUCUGGGAUAGUCCUUGGAUAAAACCUCUCUCUCAUUUUUCUAUUGCAUAUUGAAAACUAAUUGGCUCCACUGAGCUUAACAUUGAAG
rnacentral:misc_RNA from 1 species